AUUUCCAUGGGUUUAUUUCUAGGCAUCUUCUGGGAUAUCAAGCAUAUCUGGGUCAUAUGCGAAUGGUCUUAUAAAAUGUUCUUUUAUAAAAGAUGAAACUGUACAACCAGAAAAAGGGUUUACUUUAAGUGAGGAAUAUCAUUUAAUGUUUGCAGAAGGAGAAGCAAUAGACGGUUCCUUGCUACCCCAUAGCUUCGAUGUAUUACCACUAGUAACAAACAACAAAGUUAAUCUUCGUUUAAUUGGUAAUGUAGGCGGAGAUAAACCAACAUUUCCUUUGGUCAAAACACAUGGUGUACUGAUGACAUUAAGCUGGCUGGCUCUCAGUAGUAUCGGCAUGAUCAUGUCUAGAUAUGGUAAACCUCUUUGGCCGAACACAAGCCCGUUUGGAAUAAAAAUAUGGUUUCAUAUUCACAGAACCAGUAUGGUAUUAACUGUGGGAUUAACUAUUCUAGCUUUACUGUUUAUAUUAAUAGAAGCUCAAGGUUUUAGUCAGAUACCAGAACAACCAGGUAAAAUGUAUAGACAGAUACAUCCAGUGAUUGGUUUUAUGAUAGUUAUAUUAACACUAGCCAAUCCUAUUAUGGCAUUAUUCAGACCUACCGGCGAAUCUUCCAGUAGAUAUAUAUUUAAUUGGUGUCACCGAGGAGUUGGUGUCACUGCUUUUAUAAUGGCAGUGGUGGCCGUCUUUAUAGGUUUUGAUUUAGGAAAGAGCGGAGCACCCGCUUCAGUUUUUCCAAUUUUGAUUAUUUAUAUUAUCUACCAUAUAAUAUUCAUAGUUGUCAUGGAGCUUUUACCCUUUAUAAUCAAGAAAAGACAAGGUCAAAAACAAGAAUACAAUAUGAAUGAUUUGAACUUAACCGGAUCUAAUGGAAGUGCUAAGUCUUUAGAAAACGAGAAAAAGGAGAAAUUGAACGAGGAAUAUAAAUACCGAAUGAUGUUGUUAAUAGUUCAUUUUAUUGUCGUUACUUUAUUAUCUCUAAUACUGAUUAUACUGUUGUUAGUUGGGUGAAAUGUUAUUGAAUUGUAACAAAUGCAUACCUGGAAGAAAUUUUAUUAAAUGUUACAACGACAGCUGAGUGUAACUCCCUUACAUCAUAUUGUAAACAAACCCACGGCUGGUUAGAACUGUAAUAAAUUAUUAAUAAAUAUGUAUAUAUUUGGCGGAA